UCAGACUCUCGAGCGCCGGCCCCAGGAUGACAAUCACAUCCCAGGCGCGCUGAUCUCUUCCAACUUUCCUCCUCUGCUAAGUCCGGGUGGAGCGGCGGUUCCGACGCACCGCGGGCCCUGGUGGCGGAUCUGGCCUCUCGAAGCACAAAGGGGACGAGGCCGAGAAAGGCGCGCCAGCGAACGCUCUGCUCUCUCCUCGCCACAGUAAAUCGCGGAGUUAGAGGGUUUGUUCGCCAGGCUGGACUCAGAAGAGGAUCGCCGCCCACCCGCCUCUGGCUUCUCCCCCAAGCCAGGGGACCUGAGAGCGAGUUGAAGACCCAUAAUGAAGGUCCCUGGAAGAGCCCGAUGAAAGCCCUCGUCCGGGGAGCAGAGUCCGGGAUGCCUGUUCCUCUCCGCCAGCAGCAGCAGCAGCAGCAGGUGAUAAGUAUGGUGUUUCCAUAAUACAUUUGGAUGUUUGCAGCUAAGUUGACUUCUGAACCAUGGGGUUCCUCCAAAUGCUGGCUGAACUUUGUCCUUGCACAUCCCCAGGCUCAUCUGCAAUUCAUAAUGGAGCUCCUGUGCUGGCUGGCUAUUGGAAGGAAGAGAUUCUGAAGAUAGGGAGGUUCAGCUGUCGGUCUUCGAAAUUUCCUGAGGUCUGGCAAUCUAGAUGCAAAGGACAUGGAAAAAUCGAGUGCUCAAGUGGUUUAAAUGUUUUGGAUGUUCCUAUUUAUAGACUACAGCAUUUUUCCAAUUAAAAUCCCAAGUUGUCAUUUAGAAGAAGGUUAUGUCUUGAUCACCAAUUUUAUUUGAAAUGCUCAUAUUGUAGAGUAUCACCAAACAUUUGCUGUUUUUUAAUCAAAGUAUAGACAAUUUCAUAUGUGGACUUUUUUUCUAAAAUGUCUUUACUGGGCUGAAUGAAUGUUUAUACCUGAAAAAGAGGUCUCAAAAAAACCCCAAAAUCCCUCUCUCCAUCAUAGCAAUUUUUCUGGUAAUCCAGUAUUAUUAGAGUAGGUUUAAAAUCACUUUGUUCUGUGACCCCUAUUAUGUUUUGGAGAGAAAACAGACUUGAAACAUAUCCGUGUAUAUAUUUUAAUUCUCUAUAUUAGUCCCUCUGGAAUAGAAUAUUUUCUCCUCAACAAAUCUAUUAGCUCAGCUCACAUACAAGAAGCAAUCGCCUUGACUGGCAGAGCGUCUGCUAUGUGUUUGAACAUUUGAUUUAUGUAAAGAAGGUUGACAUCCAGUUUUCACAGAGUUCUUACAUUAGAGCAGGCUGAAUAAUGAGGACUUGCCUCGCCAUUGCGAAAUUCCUUGUUGUGGCCUCCGUGGUGACUGCAGAAUAAGAGAAAGAUUCCUCUGUGGAAGGCAGGCCUGCGGCCUCUGUGGUGUGAACACCGUGAAGGGGUCUGUCUGACCAGAGACAGCCCUCAGCUAGGGAACUGGGGAAAUUCGCAGAUGCCGUUUCCACUGUGGAAGCUGCUCUCGGUGACAGUGUUGUGAGUAACCCAGUUUGUACUUCAUCCACUUCUAUAGUUUUGACCAAGAAUCCAAGUGCUAUGAUGAAUUCUUAAGCUCAGAUCUCAGUAUGGCAAAGUCAGUUUAUUAGGCUAGAGUAUUUCUUUCUUAUUAUUCUCAUUAAACUAUAUUUUGAGAUAAUUAUAGACUUCCCGUGCAGCUGUGCUAAAUAAUGGAGAUCCCUGUGCCCUUUACCCAGUUUCCCCAAUAGUAACACCUUACAGUGUCCAGCACGUGUCACAACCUGGACGUUGACAUUGACACGGUCAGAUACGGAACAUUUCCGUCACCACAGGGAUUCCUCAGAUCGCCCUUUGAUAUCCACCCUCACUGCUUUCGGAACCCACCCCUUCACCCUAACAGCCGCUAAUCUCUUCUCCAUUGCUAUAAUUUUGUCUUUUCAAGAAUGUUACAUAAAUGGAAUCAUGUAGUAUGUAACCUUUUGGGACUGGCUUUUCUCACUCAGCAUAAUUUUCUGGAGAUUCAACUUGCAUAUGUCAAUAAUUUGUUCUUUUGUAUUGUUGGGUAGUAUUCCAUGGUAUGAUUGGCCUGUGGUUUGUUUCGCCAUUCACCAUCUGGGACAAGGGUUGUUUCUAGUUUUUGACUAUUACAAAUAAAACUGCUAUAAACAUUCGUUUACAGUU